GGCCCAGUGGUGUAACGGAAACACAGUUGUAUAAGAUGCAUGUUGUUGUGAAUUAAUUAUACAGAUAUUUCCUGUUCGACUCAGGGUAGGGCCG